rnacentral:rRNA from 1 species
GACGAACGCUGGCGGCGUGCCUAAUACAUGCAAGUAGGACGCAGUUGCGAACGGGUGAGUAACGCGUAGUUAUCUACCUAUUAGCGGGGGAUAACUAUUGGUAACGAUAGCUAAUACCGCAUACUAGUAGAUGGACCUGCGUUUGAUUAUCUAGUAGGUAGGGUAAUGGCCUACCUAGGCAACGGUACAUAGCCGACCUGAGAGGGUGAGCGGACACAACGGGAAUGAGACACGGCCCAGAAUUCUAAGGGAGGGAGCAGGAGGGAAUUUUAGGCAAUGGGGGGAACCCUUAACGAGGAACGACGGGGGAGUGCAGAAGGUUUUCGGAUCGUAAAGCUCUGUUGUUAAGGAAGCGGUACGUAAACAGAAAGGGACGGCUAACUACGUGCCAGCAGCCGCGGUAAUAC